GUGGGUGGUGGGUGGACCCUCUGAAAAGAUCUCUGGCUUUAUCCGACUCUGAAGUUUCGCCAUUUAUCCGAAGCUCGAAGAUUUUAGAUUUACACUACCAACCCUGAAAACCCAUUUCACCAUUCCAGGGAUAUGAAAGUUGAAACAUAAAGAAACUAGUCGAGGAGGACCACAACAAGGUUGAUUUGUUUCUGGCAAGAGUAGAAGAUCAGCAGAUAUGAAAUUCAACAAUUCAAGAGCCAUGAUACAGUUUUACAUGUGUUCAUUCUUCAUAAAGCUACUGGGGGAAAGAGUCUGAUUGUUUGGCACUGUGUAAGAAUGAAAAUUUUCAAGAUAGCUUUACCUUUGUUCCGGAUGAAGAAAUGGUCUGGUGGCAUGGUGAUUAUAGCUCUUGCUGUAAUCUUGGUUUUUAGUUAUAGCCUACUGAGAACCCAGCCACAGAAAAAACAGUCAGCUUAUGAUUUUUUCAGAAAUCAUCCAGCUAAUGAUUCUCAUGUGACGGACACCUCUCGCAUUAGACCUCCUCAAGUGGAAGUAGGAAAAGCAACAAAAUUAUCAAAAAAACUACAUUUUAUAAAUUUUGAAGGACUUAAUGACCUGUAUGCCCCAAACAAUAUUUCCAAGGAAGAGUCAAAGGCCUUGCUGGUAUGGAGUCAGAUGCGUCUGCUAUUGUCCAGGUCUGAUGCUUUGCCUGAAACAGCUCAAGGGAUCAAAGAGGCUUCAAUAGCAUGGAAGGAUUUAUCGUCCAUAAUUGAGGAAGAGAAAGCUGCCAAGUCUCACAUCAUUGACAAACAGGAAGAUAAAAACUGUCCUUACUCUAUAAAUGCUAUUGAUAUAAUGACAUCAAGCAAUGGAACAGUUUUUGAUAUACCUUGCGGUCUUGUUGAAGAUUCCUCCAUUACAAUAGUUGGCAUUCCUAAUGGGCACAAUGGAAGCUUUCAAGUUGAACUUGAAGGCUCCCAGCUUCGAGGAGAGCAAAACCAUCCUAUUAUCUUGCAUUACAGAGUAAGCCUACCUGGAGACAAUAUGACAGACGAGCCUUUUAUUGUUCAGAAUACAUGGAGUAAUGAACAUGGUUGGGGCAAAGAGGAGAAAUGUCCUGCUCAUGGAUCUGCUAACAACCCAAAGCCAAAAGUUGAUGGACUUGUUCUUUGCAAUGAACAAAUUGUCAGAAGCACGGUGGAAGAGACUCUAAAUGCAAGUCAUCCUGGUAGAGACAUUUUAGCUAAUGUUUCCCAAGGAAGCGCUUAUGCAAGUGCUAAUUUCCCAUUCUCUAAGGGGAAUCCUUUCACUGCUACAUUUUGGGUUGGUUCAGAGGGAUUCCAUAUGACUGUGAAUGGAAGGCACGAAACAUCUUUUGCAUAUAGGGAGAAACUUGAACCAUGGGCAGUGAGUGGAGUCAAAGUAGAUGGUGGUUUUGAUAUGUUAUCUGUCUUAGCCAAAGGGUUGCCUGUUUCUGAAGAUCAUGAUUUAGUCGUUGAUGUUGAGCUCCUCAAAGCCCCAGUGACAAAAAAGAAAAGACUAGCAAUGUUGGUUGGGGUUUUUUCCACUGGAAAUAAUUUUGAGCGCCGAAUGGCACUGAGAAGGUCUUGGAUGCAGUAUGAGGCUGUACAUUCAGGGGAUGUAGCUGUCCGAUUUUUCAUUGGUCUUCACAAGAACAGUCAAGUCAACUUUGAGCUGUGGAAAGAAGCUCAAGCAUAUGGAGAUGUGCAAUUGAUGCCUUUUGUUGAUUAUUAUAGUCUGAUUAGUUUGAAAACAAUUGGAAUUUGUAUUAUGGGGACCAAAAUUCUCCCUGCUAAAUAUAUCAUGAAAACAGAUGAUGAUGCUUUUGUUAGGAUUGAUGAAGUUCUUACUAGUCUCAAGGGAAAAGCAUCUAAUGGCCUGUUAUAUGGUCUUAUGUCCUUCGACUCAUCACCACAUAGGGAAAAGGACAGCAAAUGGUAUAUCAGUAAUGAGGUAACCAUAAUCUUAUAUUCAUAACUAAAGUCACAUAUUGAUGAUAUUUGUUUUGCUAUAUUACUUCUUCCUUUUCUCAACUGCCAUUUUACUCGGAUAGGCAUUCUUUUGUGCAGGAGUGGCCUCAUUCUUCGUAUCCACCAUGGGCACAUGGCCCAGGAUAUAUUGUCUCUCGAAAUGUUGCAAAGUUCAUUGCUCAGGGCCACCAAGAAAGAGAUCUCAAGGUAAAUAUCUCUUGCUUACUUGUUACUAGAAAAUUUUAUCAUAUGUUUAAUGCUAGUAUGUUUGAAUUGUCCAAAACAUGCCUCCUCAGCUUGAUAAGACAGUUAGAUUAUAGCAUUGAAAGAGAGAUAAGAAAAGGGCAAAAAGAAAGCAGAAAGUCCAAAAGAAUAUUUAAGCUCCAUUUGGGAUUGUGGUUGGAUGGUCACUAGUAAGCACCAUUUUGGAUGUUGAAAAAGCAAUUUAAAAAAGUUGUUUUUUUGUUUUGAGUUUUAAUUAUUAAAAUAUAUCAAAUUUAAAUUAAAUCAAAAUUUGAAAAUUCUUAUUAAAUUUUUUUGCAAUAAUAUUUUAUCAAUGGCUCAAACAAUAAUGCCAAUCAAACCCUUAGGCAAGUGCAAAGACUUGACCUUUAGAUGAUAGCAGAAAUCUUUGGUGAAAUAGUGUAGCAAUUAGGUUUCAACAGGCUAUAUGCUUUAUGAGCUGCAAACUCCAUUCCGCCAUUGAGAUUCAACUCCUUGUUGCUUCGAUUUAUAACGAAGAAAAUAAAAAUAAUAAUGAGCACCGAAGUUAAUCUGACAAAGUUGCCGUGUUGUUUCUCUCAUGUCUAUGCUUUUUGUAGUUAUUUAAACUGGAAGAUGUUGCAAUGGGAAUUUGGAUUGAACAGUUCAAGAAGAGCGGUCAAGAAGUGCAUUACAUAAGUGACGAGAGGUUUCACAAUACUGGAUGUGAAUCAAAUUAUAUUCUUGCUCAUUACCAAAGCCCAAGGUUGGUAUUAUGUCUUUGGGAGAAGUUGCAGAAAGAGCAUCAGCCUAAUUGCUGCGAGUAAUCACGUGAACCUAGCUGAACGUUCAAGAGUGAUUUUCUUCUUAGGCCAAGGAGUCUGUGUUGGGGUCACAGCUUUUUAGGAUUGGCUCUAUUGUGUUUGGUGUAGUCAUAUCUGUUUGUUGACAUUAAUCACACUCAUAUGACGGAUGAAAUGAUUGAUUAGCAAAUGUUGAGGAUCUUCUUGUUGGUGUAAGUUACUAAUUUAAUAUAAAUUCUUUUCUAUUCUUUAAAUUGAAUUUUACUUGU
rnacentral:misc_RNA from 1 species